rnacentral:rRNA from 1 species
GAUGAACGCUGGCGGCGUGCCUAAUACAUGCAAGUCGAGCGAACGGACGAGAAGCUUGCUUCUCUGAUGUUAGCGGCGGACGGGUGAGUAACACGUGGAUAACCUACCUAUAAGACUGGGAUAACUUCGGGAAACCGUAGCUAAUACCGGAUAAUAUUUUGAACCUCAUGGUUCAAAAGUGAAAGACGGUCUUGCUGUCACUUAUAGAUGGAUCCGCGCUGCAUUAGCUAGUUGGUAAGGUAACGGCUUACCAAGGCAACGAUGCAUAGCCGACCUGAGAGGGUGAUCGGCCACACUGGAACUGAGACACGGUCCAGACUCCUACGGGAGGCAGCAGUAGGGAAUCUUCCGCAAUGGGCGAAAGCCUGACGGAGCAACGCCGCGUGAGUGAUGAAGGUCUUCGGAUCGUAAAACCCUGUUAUUAGGGAAGAACAUAUGUGUAAGUAACUGUGCACAUCUUGACGGUACCUAAUCAGAAAGCCACGGCUAACUACGUG